ACCAUGAUGAACUGACUUUGAGUCUCUCCUCAGGGUGCUGCAGGCAAAGCCGGGGACCCAGGGAGAGACGUAAGUGAGGGGAGAUGCUGGGACAGA
rnacentral:pre_miRNA from 8 species